rnacentral:rRNA from 1 species
GACAGAGGUUGCAAACGUUGCUCGGAAUUACUGGGCGUAAAGCGCGUGUAGGCGGACUGAUAAGUCAGGUGUGAAAUCCCCGGGCUCAACCCGGGAACUGCACUUGAAACUGCCAGUCUUGAGUGAUGGAGAGGAUGGCGGAAUUCCUGGUGUAGAGGUGAAAUUCGUAGAUAUCAGGAGGAACACCGGUGGCGAAGGCGGCCAUCUGGAAAUCUACUGACGCUGAGACGCGAAAGCGUGGGGAGCAAACAGG